rnacentral:rRNA from 1 species
GACGAACGCUGGCGGCGUGCUUAACACAUGCAAGUCGAACGAUGAUGCCCAGCUUGCUGGGUGGAUUAGUGGCGAACGGGUGAGUAACACGUGAGUAACCUGCCCCUGACUCUGGGAUAAGCGUUGGAAACGACGUCUAAUACUGGAUAUGACCGCCGAUCGCAUGGUCUGGUGGUGGAAAGAUUUUUUGGUUGGGGAUGGACUCGCGGCCUAUCAGCUUGUUGGUGAGGUAAUGGCUCACCAAGGCGACGACGGGUAGCCGGCCUGAGAGGGUGACCGGCCACACUGGGACUGAGACACGGCCCAGACUCCUACGGGAGGCAGCAGUGGGGAAUAUUGCACAAUGGGCGAAAGCCUGAUGCAGCAACGCCGCGUGAGGGAUGACGGCCUUCGGGUUGUAAACCUCUUUUAGUAGGGAAGAAGCGUAAGUGACGGUACCUGCAGAAAAAGCACCGGCUAACUACGUGCCAGCAGCCGCGGUAAUACGUAGGGUGCAAGCGUUGUCCGGAAUUAUUGGGCGUAAAGAGCUCGUAGGCGGUUUGUCGCGUCUGCUGUGAAAUCCCGAGGCUCAACCUCGGGCUUGCAGUGGGUACGGGCAGACUAGAGUGCGGUAGGGGGAGAUUGGAAUUCCUGGUGUAGCGGUGGAAUGCGCAGAUAUCAGGAGGAACACCGAUGGCGAAGGCAGAUCUCUGGGCCGUAACUGACGCUGAGGNAGCGAAAAGCGUGGGGAGCGAACAGGAUUAGAUACCCUGGUAGUCCCACGCCGUAAAACGUUGGGGCGCUAGAUGUAGGGACCUUUCCCACGGUUUUCUGUGUCGUAGCUAACGCAUUAAGCGCCCCGCCCUGGGGGAGUACGGCCGCAAAGGCUAAAACUCAAAAGGGAAUUGACGGGGGCCCGCACAAGCGGCGGAGCAUGCGGAUUAAUUCGAUGCAACGCGAAGAACCUUACCAAGGCUUGACAUACACCGGAAACGGCCAGAGAUGGUUGCCCCCUUGUGGUCGGUGUACAGGUGGUGCAUGGUUGUCGUCAGCUCGUGUCGUGAGAUGUUGGGUUAAGUCCCGCAACGAGCGCAACCCUCGUUCUAUGUUGCCAGCGCGUUAUGGCGGGGACUCAUAGGAGACUGCCGGGGUCAACUCGGAGGAAGGUGGGGAUGACGUCAAAUCAUCAUGCCCCUUAUGUCUUGGGCUUCACGCAUGCUACAAUGGCCGGUACAAAGGGCUGCGAUACCGUAAGGUGGAGCGAAUCCCAAAAAGCCGGUCUCAGUUCGGAUUGAGGUCUGCAACUCGACCUCAUGAAGUCGGAGUCGCUAGUAAUCGCAGAUCAGCAACGCUGCGGUGAAUACGUUCCCGGGCCUUGUACACACCGCCCGUCAAGUCAUGAAAGUCGGUAACACCCGAAGCCGGUGGCCUAACCCUUGUGGAAGGAGCCGUCGAAGGUGGGAUCGGUGAUUAGGACUAAGUCGUAACAA